rnacentral:misc_RNA from 1 species
GAUGAAGAACGCAGCGAAAUGCGAUAAGUAAUGCGAAUUGCAGAAUUCCAGUGAAUCAUCGAAUCUUUGAACGCACAUUGCGCCCGCUGGUAUUCCGGCGGGCAUGCCUGUUCGAGCGUCAUUUCAACCCUCAAGCCCCCGGGUUUGGUGUUGGGGAUCGGCUCUGCCUUCUGGCGGUGCCGCCCCCGAAAUACAUUGGCGGUCUCGCUGCAGCCUCCAUUGCGUAGUAGCUAACACCUCGCAACUGGAACGCGGCGCGGCCAUGCCGUAAAACCCCAACUUCUGAAUGUUGACCUCGGAUCAGGUAGGAAUACCCGCUGAACUUAAGCAUAUCAAUAAGCGGAGGA